CGAAUCAGGUAGGAAUACCCGCUGAACUUAAGCAUAUCAAUAAGCGGAGGA
rnacentral:rRNA from 1 species